GGUAUCAUGGCCGAGUGGUCUAAGGCGCAGGAUUUAAGUUCAAAGGUAGAAGGAAUACUUUUACCGUGAGCGCGAACCGAAUCACCCCUGUUUAUCCUGGGUUCGAACCCCAGUGGUACCA